GACGAACGCUGGCGGCGUGCCUAAUACAUGCAAGUUGAGCGCUGAAGGUUGGUACUUGUACCAACUGGAUGAGCAGCGAACGGGUGAGUAACGCGUGGGGAAUCUGCCUUUGAGCGGGGGACAACAUUUGGAAACGAAUGCUAAUACCGCAUAAAAACUUUAAAAACAAGUUUUAAGUUUGAAAGAUGCAAUUGCAUCACUCAAAGAUGAUCCCGCGUUGUAUUAGCUAGUUGGUGAGGUAAAGGCUCACCAAGGCGAUGAUACAUAGCCGACCUGAGAGGGUGAUCGGCCACAUUGGGACUGAGACACGGCCCAAACUCCUACGGGAGGCAGCAGUAGGGAAUCUUCGGCAAUAGACGAAAGUCUGACCGAGCAACGCCGCGUGAGUGAAGAAGGUUUUCGGAUCGUAAAACUCUGUUGGUAGAGAAGAACGUGGGUGAGAGUGGAAAGCUCAUAAAGUGACGGUAACUACCCAGAAAGGGACGGCUAACUACGUG
rnacentral:rRNA from 1 species